UACAGAGGUCCCAAGCGUUGUUCGGAUUCACUGGGCGUAAAGGGUGCGUAGGUGGUGAGGUAAGUCGGAUGUGAAAGCUCGGAGCUCAACUCCGAAAUGGCAUUGGAAACUACCUUGCUCGAGGGUUGGAGGGGGGACUGGAAUGCUUGGUGUAGCAGUGAAAUGCGUAGAUAUCGGAAGGAACACCGAUGGCGAAAGCAGCGCGCUGGACCUCUACUGACGCUGAGGCGCGAAAGCCAGGGGAGCAAACGGG
rnacentral:rRNA from 1 species